rnacentral:lncRNA from 1 species
CAAGGAUGAGCAUUUAUAUAGGAAGAUUUUAGGAAACUUUGUAAGGUAAAAUGUGUAGAAAUAUCCGGAGACUACAUAAAACAGUUCAUACGGGGCGAGUGCAGCAUAACUAGCGGGGUUUUUCUUCCCAAGCGCAACGCCAACAUUAACUUUUACAUGAAUAAAAUAUGAAUAAUACACGCAAUUAUCUGGCAAGUGGUGAAAGCAGGUAAUCAGUGGAAGGGAUUGAUUUUUUUUUUUUUCCCCUUCCCCUCAUUCAAGGAAAACCUUCAAAGUAUCCAUCCUAAAAAAACCAUAAAUACGGCAAUCA